ACGGACUUUGAAAGAAUUGCUCAAUCGCCGAACUUAAAAUCCUGAGACGGUAACGUCGUGUGGGUUCGAGUCCCACCGUCCGCACCA
rnacentral:tRNA from 1 species